UGAAAUGCUAUCCUGAAUGUCAAGUUAAGAAGAAUUCCGAGCCUCUCAAUACAAGGAACUGAUGAAUGUCUCAAGGCAUAGAGAUUAUUUGAUCAUUAACUAUUGUAUAUAGCUAUCAAGUUAUCCCAGAGAAGCCACGUAAGUGGUACAAUUUUCUUCUCACUAUUUUGUGAUACUUUGUACAUAUUAGGCAAGCCCUCUGUGUUAAACUAUCUCUCCGGUAUGUAUAAUGAUCAUAUGUCAACUGAAAAGUAAAUGUGAAGGGCUGAAAGGUAGCUCAGUGGGCAAGAGAACUUUCUGCUCUUCUUCCAGGGGUCUCACAGUAAGCCCCCAGCACCCAAUGCCCUCUUCCAGCCUGCAGCAGGCACCAGGCACACACAUGGCACACAGACAUCCAUGAAGUUAAAACAUCCUCAUACGUAAAAAUUUUAAAUUAAAUUUAAACAUUUUCAUAUGAAAAUAUUUUGAAGGCAAACAUUAUUCAGAAUUUUUGUUUGUUUGUUUUUUUCAAAACAGUGUUUCUCUGAGUAGCCCUGGCUGUCUUGCAACUAGCUCUGUUUAUCAGGCUGACCUUGGGCUCAGAGAUCUGCCUGCUUCUGCCUCCUGAGUGCUGGGAUUGGAUUAAAGCUUGGUGACCUUGAGAAAGUGCAGUGGUCACUGGAACUCUUUCUUCCUGUCUCUGGAAAGUCUUGGAUGCUGAAUUUCAUGGUCGGUUCAAGGACCCUCCAGAUCUAGCAGCUUGUUUGAUGAAGUGACCCAUCUUCAAUUCACUUUGCCUCGGCCCAGGCUAAAACUGGAUCUACUUUGGACAGGCAAGAGAAGAAAUCACCAGGUGCAUACAACACUGCCACAUUUUGUACUCUUGAAACCACCAUGGCUCAGCAUGGGGGAAAUCAAAACCACUCCUGGAAAUUCUGGUGGCCAAGCCACUGAGGAACUCAGAAGAGUGUGGGAGAGUGUCUUAGUUAGAUUUCCUAUCGCUGUGGAGAGAUACCAUGACCACACAACUCUUAUACUGGAAAAUAUUUAAUUGUGGUGGCUCACUUACAUUUCAGAGGUUUUAUUUAGUCCACUGUCUUCAUGAAAGGAAGCAAAGCAGCAUUCAGGCAGACAUGGUGCUGGAGAAGGAGCCGAGAGUUCGACUCAAGGGCAACAUGAAGUGGUCUGAGACACUGGGAGGUUAUCUUGAGAUUUCAAAGCCCACCUCCACGGUGACACACUUCCUCCAACAAGGGCAAAACCUCUCCAUCAAAGCCACACCUCCUAUUAGUACCACUCCCUUUAUUCCAUUUUUUAAUCUGUUCAUGUCCUUGAAUGAAGGACUUAGAUCCAUCCCACUUUCUGAUGUUCCUUUUCUCCUCAAAUAUUUUUUUCCCUCCUCAGCUCUCUCCUGUUGUAGAAAUUCCUUUAACUAGGUAGAGAUGUAUUACUUUUGUUUAUGCUGUGGAGUAUUGCUUUAACUGUGUAAAGAUGUGUUACUUUUGUUUAAUUCUGUAAAGAUGGGAUGGGCUUGUUUCACCUCCCCUGCCUAAGGCACCUGAUUGGUCUAAUAAAAAUUCAAGUGGUCAACAGCUAUGCAGGAAUGGGACAGGCGGGACUGGCAGGCAGAGAGAAUAAGUAGGAGGAGAAAUCUAGGCUCAAGAGAGAAGAAAAAGAAGUGAAUGAGGGAGACAGAG